rnacentral:rRNA from 1 species
UACGGAGGGUGCAAGCGUUAUCCGGAUUCACUGGGUUUAAAGGGUGCGUAGGUGGGCAGGUAAGUCAGUGGUGAAAUCUCCGGGCUUAACCCGGAAACUGCCGUUGAUACUAUCUGUCUUGAAUGUAGUGGAGGUGAGCGGAAUAUGUCAUGUAGCGGUGAAAUGCUUAGAUAUGACAUAGAACACCCAUUGCGAAGGCAGCUCGCUACACUAUUAUCGACACUGAGGCACGAAAGCGUGGGGAUCAAACAGG